UUUGGAUGAAGAGGAACUGGCAGCUGCUAUGGCAAGGCCUAUACCCAAGGUUCGUCAGACCUGCAACAAUACACCUGAAGGCCAGCAAAAAGGAAACAUUUUGGGUGGCUGGUCCCAAAACAGGACAAGGCAAAUCUUGGCAGAGCGACCUCCAUGGAAAAUAUGAAUACAACAUUUAACAGUUUUCAAUUGUCCAGAAUCUUUUACACUAAGGAGCAGUAUGCUGUGACUUGUUGACUUUGAAUCCUAAAAUUAAAAUGAACUACUCCAGAUGCUUCAUUUGGGUUUCUAACUGUCUUAUUACAAUACAAAACUGAAACUUUUAAGGGGGGUGAUGAAUAAAA